rnacentral:lncRNA from 1 species
CCAAUCUCUUCUUUACUCUAACUUCUCACUCAACAUCUAUUUACCCGUUAAAACUCAAUCCCUAGGUAUACUUGGCUUCUAAGGAUUCACACGUCCAAUUUUCGACUUAACUCUCAACUCGACUCAAACUCAUAGCAAACAAGCACAUAAACAAGUAUAAGCACUUACGCAUAUUAAAAACACACAUAGACAAGUCGAAAACAAGCUUUACUCUGCACUGACUCAACUUUAAA